rnacentral:rRNA from 1 species
GACGAACGCUGGCGGCGUGCUUAACACAUGCAAGUCGAACGGAAAGGCUCCAGCUUGCUGGAGUACUCGAGUGGCGAACGGGUGAGUAACACGUGGGUGAUCUGCCCUGCACUUCGGGAUAAGCCUGGGAAACUGGGUCUAAUACCGGAUAGGACCGCACUCUGGUGUGUGUGGUGGAAAGGUUUUUCUGGUGUGGGAUGAGCUCGCGGCCUAUCAGUUUGUUGGUGGGGUAAUGGCCUACCAAGACGGCGACGGGUAGCCGGCCUGAGAGGGUGGACGGUCACAUUGGGGCUGAGGUACGGCCCAGACUCCUACGGGAGGCAGCAGUGGGGGAUAUUGCACAAUGGGGGAAACCCUGAUGCAGCGACGCCGCGUGGGGGAUGAAGGCCUUCGGGUUGUAAACUCCUUUCGCUAGGGACGAAGCUUUUUGUGACGGUACCUGGAGAAGAAGCACCGGCUAACUACGUG